GACGAACGCUGGCGGCGUGCUUAACACAUGCAAGUCGAGCGCUGAAGCCUUUCGGGGUGGAUGAGCGGCGAACGGGUGAGUAACACGUGGGAAUAUGCCUUUCGGUUUGGAACAACUCGGGGAAACCCGUGCUAAUUCCGGAUACGCCCUUAGGGGGAAAGAUUUAUCGCCGAAAGAUUAGCCCGCGUCCGAUUAGCUAGUUGGUGAGGUAACGGCCCACCAAGGCGACGAUCGGUAGCUGGUUUGAGAGAACGACCAGCCACACUGGGACUGAGACACGGCCCAGACUCCUACGGGAGGCAGCAGUGGGGAAUCUUGGACAAUGGAGGAAACUCUGAUCCAACCAUG
rnacentral:rRNA from 1 species